rnacentral:lncRNA from 1 species
GCGUCGGAUAGAAAUCGACCUUAUGAAAUUGCAUGUACACAUAUACAUAUCUAAGACUUUGAUCGAUUUUGGAAUAACUAAGAUAUAAAAGCUGCAUUUUAGUCCGUUUAAAAGGGUUGUCUUCUUAUGAAAACCUACUUUUGAACAAUUACAAACUUUCCGUAGAAAUGAUUUUAACCCAAAAUAGGUUAACAGAGGUAUUGAUUUUCGUUUGCAUAAGGUCGAUUUCUAUCCGACGCAGCUCAUUUG